AUUGAACGCUGGCGGCAGGCUUAACACAUGCAAGUCGAACGAGUGGCGGACGGGUGAGUAAUGCUUGGGAAUCUAGCUUAUGGAGGGGGAUAACUAUGGGAAACUGUAGCUAAUACCGCGUACCAUAGGAUGAGCCCAAGUGGGAUUAGGUAGUUGGUGAGGUAAAGGCUCACCAAGCCGACGAUCUCUAGCUGGUCUGAGAGGGUGACCAGCCACACUGGGACUGAGACACGGCCCAGACUCCUACGGGAGGCAGCAGUGGGGAAUAUUCCGCAAUGGGGGAAAGCUGACGCAGCCAUGCCGCGUGAAUGAAGAAGGCCUUCGGGUUGUAAAGUUCUGUCGGUAGCGAUGCGUUAACUACAGAAGAAGCACCGGCUAACUCCGUGCCAGCAGCCGCGGUAAUAC
rnacentral:rRNA from 1 species